rnacentral:rRNA from 1 species
GGUCACUGCUAUUGGGAUUCGAUUAAGCCAUGCGAGUCGAGAGGGUUCGGCCCUCGGCUGACGGCUCAGUAACACGUGGAUAAUCUGCCCUUAGGUGGAGGAUAAUCUCGGGAAACUGAGGAUAAUACUCCAUAGGUCUAGGAGGCUGGAAUGCACUUAGACUGAAAGCUCCGGCGCCUAAGGAUGAGUCUGCGGACUAUCAGGUUGUAGUCAGGGUAAUGACCUGACUAGCCUACGACGGAUACGGGUUGUGGGAGCAAUAACCCGGAGACGAUAUCUGAGACACGAUAUCGGGCCCUACGGGGCGCAGCAGGCGCGAAAACUUCACACUGUGCGAAAGCACGAUGAGGGAAUCCCGAGUGCCAGCUCGUAAGAGUUGGCUGUUUUUCUGCCUAAAACACAGAGAGAGUAAGAGCUGGGUAUGACGGGUGCCAGCCGCCGCGGUAAUACCUGCAGCUCGAGUGGUGAUCAUUAUAUUGGGCCUAAAACGUCCGUAGCCUGUUUAGUAAAUGCCUGGGUAAAUCGUGUAGCUUAACUAUACGAAUUCCGGGUAGACUGCUAAACUUGAGACCGGGAGAGGCUAGAGGUACUCCUGGGGUAGAGGUGAAAUUCUGUAAUCCUAGGGGGACCACCAGUGGCGAAGGCGUCUAGCUAGAACGGAUCUGACGGUGAGGGACGAAGCCCUGGGGCGCAAACCGGAUUAGAUACCCGGGUAGUCCAGGGUGUAAACGCUGCUUGCUUGAUGUUAGUUGGGCUCCGAGCCCAAUUAGUGUCGGAGAGAAGUUGUUAAGCAAGCUGCCUGGGAAGUACGGUCGCAAGGCUGAAACUUAAAGGAAUUGGCGGGGGAGCACAGCAACGGGUGGAGCGUGCGGUUUA